rfam:Paenibacillus sp. Soil522 contig_21, whole genome shotgun sequence.
UAGCCGGUGUAAGUCCGGUCACGGGAGGGGCCAAGCCCCCGUGUAGCUUGGAUACCUGCGUACGGCGAAAUCUUUACGCAGAAGCGUAUCGAAAAAAGUACUGGUCGGAGACCAGGCUAGUGACAUGCCAGGCCGUAACAUAA